rnacentral:misc_RNA from 1 species
GAAAUGCGAUACGUAAUGUGAAUUGCAGAAUUCAGUGAAUCAUCAAAUCUUUGAACGCAUAUUGUGCUGGCUGGUUCGCUAGUCAGCAUGUCUGUUUCAGUAUCAGUUCAAAACUCGCCAAAUUUAUUUUCUUUGGCGGAGCUGGGCGUUUCAUUAAUUUGAAUCGCUUGAAAUGCAAGGGAUUCCGGUGCAAAGCUCUAGCUCCGGGGAUGUGUCACUUUCCUUGUGGAAACCUGCAUCUUCCGUUCUACUAGAAUGCAUUGGUGAUUCCGGCUGUAGUAACGAAUCCAUUCUAUUGAUCUGAAAUCAGGCAAGAUUACCCGCUGAAUUUAA